CCUACGGGGGGCAGCAGUAGGGAAUAUUGCACAAUGGGGGAAACCCUGAUGCAGCAACGCCGCGUGAGUGAAGAAGGUUUUCGGAUUGUAAAGCCCUUUUAGUAGGGAAGAGAAUGACGGUAACUGACAAAGAAGCACCGGCUAACUCCGGGCCAGCAGCCGCGGGAAUACGGAGGGGGCAAGCGUUAGUCGGAAUUACUGGGCGUAAAGAGUGCGGAGGCGGGAUAGCAAGUCUGGUGUGAAAUCCAAUGGCUUAACCAUGGAACUGCAUAUGAAACUGUUAUACUAGAGUUCGGGAGAGGUAAGUGGAAUUCUUGGUGUAGCGGUGAAAUGCGUAGAGAUUAGGAGGAACACCCGUGGCGAAGGCGACUUACUGGACCGUAACUGACGCUGAGGCACGAAAGCGUGGGGAGCAAACAGGAUUAGAUACCCGAGUAGUC
rnacentral:rRNA from 1 species